UCAGAACUUUGAAUUGCGUGAGGCAAGUAUAUCAACCAAAGCGGCGACCUGCACGUGCGUGACAUCCGUUAGAUCAAAAGUGAACGCUUCUGAUGAACCCGGCUGAGAAUGAGGGGAGACCAAGUCGCGGGAAGCAAGAGUCAAGAGCCGACAGCGCCGGCUACCCGAGGCUUGGUUGCAGUUGCAGGGUUCAGGCGUUGGCGGCCGAAAUCCUCCGCCACGGCCAUGCCAAACAUUGGGCCUAACCCAACGGCAGCGGCGAUCCGGCAACACCCACACAGCAUCAGCUCUCUCGUGCGUCAUGGGCAAGAGCACACAGCUACACAUCCCGCGAAAUCAAGUAGAGUCUGAUCUCAAGUUCUCAACCCCGCCACUGACCCCAUAGUUCGAAUAGGCGCGAUGUCGCCAUCACUUGCUCGCCAGCCUACAGGUUACAGCGCGCGGGGAGUGUGAGGCAAAACAUAGCCGGGAGAGAAGUUAUCCUCCAUCCACCCAGCGCGCGGGGGAGAAGCUGCCAGCGAAAGUCGCGACGAGGCUUAACCUAGGUGGCUGGUCCAUCCAAUCUGACCCCAUAUAUCCAGAAGGGUGUAAAGGUGCCAAUUUGUGAUGGAAGGUCGCAAUAACUGAGCCUGAAAUUUCGAGG